CCCAUCCCCGUGUCCCCCCCGUGUCCCCCCCCCGUCCCCAGUGUCCCCCCCGGCGCCCCCCCCGGAGGAGGCGUCCCCCCUGGAGCGGGGGCUGCACGCCGUGGUGGGCACCUUCUACCAGUACGCGGGGGCGCCGGGGGGGGGCGGCGAGCCCAGCCUGGACCCCCGCGCCUUCCAGGGGCUGCUGCGCCGCGAGCUGGGCCACCAGCUGAGCGACACGGGGCACCCCGAGGCCGUGGCCGCCAUCUUCGCGCUGCUGGACGCCAACGGGGACCGGCGCAUCUCCUUCGCCGAGUACUGGCAGCUGGUGGCCUGGCUGUGCCACGUCCUGCGGCACCGCCACUACGGCGCCGCCGCCCCCCCGGGGCCCCCCCUGCCCCCCGACGCCGCCCCCGCUCCUGGGGGGCUCGGGGAGGAGCAAUAAAGAGACCCCCGAGGGGGGCGUGCAGCGAGCCCGG